AUGCCUUAAGUUAAAUGUGAUUAAUAAGCAGACCGUUUUUAUCACUCUUGCCAAAGGGGAAAAGAAAGAACACAAGGUGGCACAUAAACAGGGCGACAAAAGAUUCUGUAAAGGCUAGAAAUCUGGAGCAACAAAUACAAAAAGCAGCAGGCCAGAUGGCAUCAAUGGAAGGAAAUAAACAGCCAACUCUUCAGGGUGAGCCACUUCACGAGGACUGGUGCUGUGGCUUCCUCUCACGUUCUGAAGAUGUACUGGUUAGCAGGUUAAUUCGUCAUAAGGUUGUCAUUGGGCCAGAAGGAUCAACUACCACACCCUUUUUCUAAGUGAGGCAACACUUCACUUGUGAGUCUGUUGGGGUAAUCUAUUGCAUCCAGUGCUCCCAGUGCGGCCUCCUCUAUAUCGGUGAGACCCAACGCAGACUGGGUGACCGCUUUGUCGAUCACCUCCGCUCCGUCUGCCACAACAGACAGGAUCUCCCGGUUGCCACUCACUUCAACUCUGCUUCUCAUUCCCAUUCAGAUCUACUUUUCCCACUUCUCAGGGUGCUACCUGGAGACCAGGGGAGGCAGCGCGAUCACCCUGGGUCGAGAUGUCAGAACCACCUCUCCCCGAUUGGCUUCAAUCACUAUAUUCUGUAGCGUGUUCUCCAGAAUCAGCUCCAAGAGGUCACAGAACUCGGGCAGUCUGGGAAGUGAUGGAGACAAAGAAGAACAAGUUUACCUCACACCAAAAUAAAGUAUGCAAUUGGUCUGCG